GAUGAACGCUGACAGAAUGCUUAACACAUGCAAGUCUACUUGAUCCUUCGGGUGAUGGUGGCGGACGGGUGAGUAACGCGUAAAGAACUUGCCCUGCAGUCUGGGACAACAUUUGGAAACGAAUGCUAAUACCGGAUAUUAUGUGAGUUUCGCAUGAAAUUCAUAUGAAAGCUAUAUGCGCUGCAGGAGAGCUUUGCGUCCUAUUAGCUAGUUGGUGAGGUAACGGCUCACCAAGGCGAUGAUAGGUAGCCGGCCUGAGAGGGUGAACGGCCACAAGGGGACUGAGACACGGCCCUCACUCCUACGGGAGGCAGCAGUGGGGAAUAUUGGACAAUGGACCAAAAGUCUGAUCCAGCAAUUCUGUGUGCACGAUGAAGUUUUUCGGAAUGUAAAGUGCUUUCAGUUGGGACGAAGUAAGUGACGGUACCAACAGAAGAAGCGACGGCUAAAUACGUGCCAGCAGCCGCGGUAAUACGUAUGUCGCAAGCGUUAUCCGGAUUUAUUGGGCGUAAAGCGCGUCUAGGCGGUUUGGUAAGUCUGAUGUGAAAAUGCGGGGCUCAACUCCGUAUUGCGUUGGAAACUGUCAAACUAGAGUACUGGAGAGGUGGGCGGAACUACAAGUGUAGAGGUGAAAUUCGUAGAUAUUUGUAGGAAUGCCGAUGGGGAAGCCAGCCCACUGGACAGAUACUGACGCUAAAGCGCGAAAGCGUGGGUAGCAAACAGG
rnacentral:rRNA from 1 species